rnacentral:sRNA from 1 species
UUUCAGUAUUGACUGCCGAAGACAGCAGGUGCCGCAAGGCAUAAGUUGAAAACGCCUGCCGAGGAAUCUACAAAGCUCAAGUAUAAGAGAAUUUUGUACGGCCUCUCUGUCUGCGGACAGAGAGGCUUUCCUUU